rnacentral:rRNA from 1 species
UACGUAGGUGGCAAGCGUUGUCCGGAUUUACUGGGCGUAAAGAGCGCGCAGGCGGUCGUUCAAGUCGCGUGUGAAAGCCCCCGGCUCAACUGGGGAGGGUCACGCGAUACUGAUCGACUCGAAGGCAGGAGAGGGUAGUGGAAUUCCCGGUGUAGUGGUGAAAUGCGUAGAUAUCUGGAGGAAUACCGGUGGCGAAGGCGGCAUCCUGGACCGAGAUUGACGCUGAUGAGCGAAAGCUAGGGGAGCAAACGGG